rnacentral:rRNA from 1 species
CCUACGGGAGGCAGCAGUGGGGAAUAUUGCACAAUGGGGGGAACCCUGAUGCAGCCACGCCGCGUGGGUGAAGAAGUACUCCGGUAUGUAAAGCCCUGUCAGCAGGGAAGAAAAUGACGGUACCUGACCAAGAAGCCCCGGGUAACUACGUCCCAGCAGCCGCGGUAAUACGGAGGGGGCAAGCGUUAACCGGAUUUACUGGGUGUAAAGGGAGCGUAGACGGCAAGGCAAGUCUGGAGUGAAAUGCCGGGGCGCAACCCCGGAACUGCUUUGGAAACUGUGCAGCUGGAGUGCAGGAGAGGUAGGCGGAAUUCCUAGUGUAGCGGUGAAAUGCGUAGAUAUGAGGAGGAACACCAGUGGCGAAGGCGGCUUACUGGACUGUAACUGACGUUGAGGCUCGAAAGCGUGGGGAGCAAACAGGAUUAGAUACCCGAGUAGUC